GAUGAACGCUGGCGGCGUGCCUAAUACAUGCAAGUCGAGCGAACAGACGAGGAGCUUGCUCCUCUGACGUUAGCGGCGGACGGGUGAGUAACACGUGGAUAACCUACCUAUAAGACUGGGAUAACUUCGGGAAACCGGAGCUAAUACCGGAUAAUAUAUUGAACCGCAUGGUUCAAUAGUGAAAGACGGUUUUGCUGUCACUUAUAGAUGGAUCCGCGCCGCAUUGGCUAGUUGGUAAGGUAACGGCUUACCAAGGCAACGAUGCGUAGCCGACUUGAGAGGGUGAUCGGCCACACUGGAACUGAGACACGGUCCAGACUCCUACGGGAGGCAGCAGUAGGGAAUCUUCCGCAAUGGGCGAAAGCCUGACGGAGAAACGCAGCGUGAGUGAUGAAGGUCUUCGGAUCGUAAAGCUCUGUUAUUAGGGAAGAACAAAUGUGUAAGUAACUAUGCACGUCUUGAGGGUACCUAAUCAGAAAGCCACGGCUAACUACGUG
rnacentral:rRNA from 1 species